rnacentral:ncRNA from 23 species
UGACAAAUAUGCAUAUUUGGUGCCCCGUGAAGGGGGUAAAAGGGAAUACAGUAAGGUUGUUAUUGCCAACUCUGUAGCUGCUCCCGCAACUGUAGGCGAGAAGUGUUUGUCAUAUGCCACCCGAAGAGGGGAAGGCGACAAAACAUGCUGAUACGCAAGCCAGGAAACCUGCCAUAUAUGGUCGUUACUUU